GCGGCGGCGCUGGGGCGGCCGCGGUGGGCGGCCGGGUGGGGAGGCCGGGCGGCGCCGGCGAGCCGCGAGGACCCUGCGCAGUGGGCCGGGCGCGAGCCCCCUCCCCUCCCGGCCGGGGCGGAGGGAGGAAGUGGAGCCCGGGUGGGAGGGAGGCCCGGAGCGGACCCCCGCGCCUACCGGUCGGGAGCUGCGGACCCAGGCCUCCACGGGGUUGGGCCUUGCCUCUCCCCUUGGGCUUGAAGGCCGAGGCCCCGGGGCUGUCUCCAAAACAGUGGGUCGGAGGCGUGUGGGUAAGAAGUAGUGAAGACUCUUGGACCGAGGUAAAACUGUUCAAGGGAACGCGCUGAUUGAGCGUCCCUGUUCGCCCGGCCAGCCCGCGUGGACAGCGCUUUGCCCAAGCCCUCUUGAUUGUUCCUUUGAGGGUCACACGGUCUUCCACAGCCCCUGCUUUGGACAGGCUUAGGGCCGGUGCCUGGAAGUCAGCCGCAGCCGCACUGACCGGAACACGGAUCAGGGUUUGUAGAAGAAGAAAAAACCAUGCCAGGCUCCGUGCUCAGCAACUUGCGUUCUUAAAACCUCACAAAAGCGCUGGAAGGUAGCAAUUACUUUACCCAUUUUAUAGGAAGGAAAAAGACAGGCCCCCUCACUCUAACCGAUUGGCUCAAGGUUACAGAUCUGCUUCUUCCCAAGACUGUGGUUUAAUCUCCUCCAAAUGGGAAGGAAACUGGGGCCCAGGGAAGUUAAGCAGCUUGUCCACCCUCAAGCUAGUUGGUGCUGGGACAGGACAGGACUCCCCUCCCCCUAUCUCCUCUGCCUGGUCUCUGGUGUGUACCUGGCUGUGUGCAGGUAAAAGCAUACCCUCCUCCUGAUCUAUUUAAAAAGAAAAAAGCAUUUCCUGUUCUUAAAGCCAAGUUCAAAUGCCACUGCUUUCCCUGUAACACCACUUGAUACCUCUCAUGAGACUUAGCAAAUAAUUGGAACAAGGCAUUCUAUGUGUUCUUUCAAGAUAACUUGAGGUCCCACUAUGUCUCUAAACUCAAGUCUCCUCUCCUUGUAGGAAGCACCAUUGUUUAGGUUUCUCUUUGGAUCUCACAUAGGAUGCUUUUAAAAUUCCCUAGCAAAGGUGUAAACAGAUAUGUUCCUGCCCUCAAGAAGCCUGCACUGCAUUUGAAGAAAUACACACAAACAUGCUAAGGGCUAACACACAAGGUUGAGAAUAGAAAUGUAAAGCGAUCUUGGACAGCAAACCAUUGGGCUGUAGGUGGGGAAGUCCAUCUGAGGCUGAAACGCCUCAAAGAAUGGAUUUGCAUAGGAGAGCAGGAGGAUAUUUCUGUGGCAGAAUGGGGUGAGUCCAGGACACCUGUCUCUGCAUGACGGGUGCGUGCUGCACAUAGAGAUGAGCUAGUAGAGCGGGUCCAGAUUGCAGAGGGCUGUACAAGAGUCACUAUUAGUGUGGGAGGCCAGAGUAAAUUACAGCAGAUUCUCCAGCAGAACCUGCUGUAACAUAAUCAUCUGCCCCAGACAGAGGACCAUUCCCACAGCCAGUGAAUUCCAGGAACUAUAGUAGAAGACUUGGUUCCACAGGGUACAGGACUCAACCUGUGGGGCAUAGAGAUGGCAUUGGAAAACAGAAAAACCAGCAGAUUAGAAGGUUCUCAGAAGAACCUGCUUUAAAAACUGUCCAGCUGUGUUUGAGUUGUGCUUGGACUGUCUGGUACACAAAAGAGAUCAUCCUCCUUCAAGCAGUCAUCCGUGUCAGGGGCAGAGACAGUGAUAAUGCAGAGCAGCUUGCUGGGGCCCAGCCAAAUGCUGGCCCUGGAGGCAGGAGCCCUGCUUUUUGAGCCUUUGCUCUGCCACCAGUGUGACCUUGGGAAAUGUACUUAACCUCCUGAGUUUCAGGGUCACCCCUUCUAUAAAGUGCAUCUCUAAAGAUCUUAUUUAUGUAAACCUAUUUCUUAGAGAAAAUAGUCAUCCAAUAUCAAGAAUAGUUCAGUGAUACUUAGUUUUUUUUUUAAGUUGACCGACUGUAGGCCAGAGAUUCUGGAGAAUGGAAGUGUUCUCAGCUUUUGCUUCUACCCAGCACUAGAAUAGAGGGUAGGGAGAGGGUACUACUAUAACCUUGAAUGUUUCCCUCUGACCCUUUUCCUCUGGGGGGCAGAGAGUAUGGUGGUCAAGACAGCUCUGGAACAAACCCACCUGGGUUCAGACAGCUCCACAAUGGACUGCAGAGUGCACCCGCAGCAGCUUCAUCUUUAAGAUGAGAGUAAUAAGAACUACUUCUCCAGGUUGUCGUGAGGAUUAAAUGAGAGACGCCAUAUGAUACUAGGCACAUAGUGAGGCUCCGUGAGGAAAAGGUAGCUAACAAUCCAGAGAGUCACCGGGGGCAAGUAUAACUUCACAGAGCUUCUGUGUCUAGACUUCAAGGAUUUUCUUUCAUCCUUAUUUCUUGGAACUCCAGCCCCAUAUGUGGCUUACAAACCACAGGCUCUGAUGUGUUUAACUAAAAAAGGCAGGCAGUGUUUUCCUCUAAGUAGGGCUCCACCGUGGUGUUUGGUUACACCCAGAGGAGGAGGCUGCCCAGUGGUAGUGGGAAUGUCUUCUAGGGCAGCAAGGGGGUCCAGUGGCUCUUGGAGAUUUCCAUUCUGCUCUCCCCUUUUCUGAGUCAGCACAGCACACAUUUAGGGGAGUUUCUUCUUCCCUUUUCCUCCUCUUCCUCCCUAGAGUAGAUUGGAUGGUCAGGAAUGUGGUCAAAGCAGAGAAGGAACCAGAGACAUCUCUUCAGGCUUCCAACUUGCACCAGCGUGCCUCACAACACCCUUGGACAGCACGGACUGUGGACAACAGGGUCAAGCUUUGUUGCCAAGACUGGCAGAGGCCAACAUGAGUCCGAAUGCUCUCCAAACUGAGUAUGGAUCCGAGUGACCUCCACGGCGAGUUACCCACUGAUGCGAGCCACCGGCGGCAACUCACGUACGGAUUAUUGAAAUAACCUCCCACCUGGCCUCCCUGCUCAAGUACUUGCUGCCCUGUUG